AGAAUUGCAUCAGAAACUGUUGAACUUGAGUGCAGAAGAGGAGAGUGGAACUCCAUGUGUAGCGGUGGAAUGCGUAGAUAUAUGGAAGAACACCAGUGGCGAAGGCGGCUCUCUGGUCUGCAACUGACGCUGAGGCUCGAAAGCAUGGGUAGCGAACAGGAUUAGAUACCCUGGUAGUCCAUGCCGUAAACGAUGAGUGCUAAGUGUUGGGAGGUUUCCGCCUCUCAGUGCUGCAGCUAACGCAUUAAGCACUCCGCCUGGGGAGUACGACCGCAAGGUUGAAACUCAAAGGAAUUGACGGGGGCCCGCACAAGCGGUGGAGCAUGUGGUUUAAUUCGAAGCAACGCGAAGAACCUUACCAGGUCUUGACAUCCAGUGCAAACCUAAGAGAUUAGGUGUUCCCUUCGGGGACGCUGAGACAGGUGGUGCAUGGCUGUCGUCAGCUCGUGUCGUGAGAUGUUGGGUUAAGUCCCGCAACGAGCGCAACCCUUGUCAUUAGUUGCCAUCAUUAAGUUGGGCACUCUAAUGAGACUGCCGGUGACAAACCGGAGGAAGGUGGGGAUGACGUCAAGUCAUCAUGCCCCUUAUGACCUGGGCUACACACGUGCUACAAUGGACGGUACAACGAGAAGCGAACCUGCGAAGGCAAGCGGAUCUCUUAAAGCCGUUCUCAGUUCGGACUGUAGGCUGCAACUCGCCUACACGAAGCUGGAAUCGCUAGUAAUCGCGGAUCAGCACGCCGCGGUGAAUACGUUCCCGGGCCUUGUACACACCGCCCGUCACACCAUGAGAGUCUGUAACACCCAAAGCCGGUGGGAUAACCUUUAUAGGAGUCAGCCGUCUAAGGUAG
rnacentral:rRNA from 1 species